AUUAUUUAAGCAUCAUCGCACAUCGUUGCAGACACGAGCGCGUUUCAAUGUGCGUGUUAAGAAGUAUUUCAAAUAAGAACAUGAAAAGGAUAUUAAUACUAUACGCAUUGGCUUCGAUUACAUCCACGCAUGCCCUGUCAGAUGAACCACUAAUCCACGUAAUACUACUGUGUAAAUCCACUGUGGAAGUUUCAUGCCAUAUGGAUAGAGCGGGUGUACCUAGUGGAAGCUACGGAUCUUGGACGUUUUACAGGAGUCGGGAUGGUUUUGAAGAUAUGCUUGUUACGGCCAGAAUAAAUAACACAAAACAAGAAUGCCGUGUAUCUACUCUCAAAACAACUGCAUCGACGAACUGUUUUUGCGUGGAAGAUAAUCGUGUCAUUUGCGACAUAAGCAGUCAAAGUAUCGCUAAAGCAGGUGACCGAUGGCGCUGCGCCCGCUUCAUAGAUGGAUAUUUGCUUUUAAGCAACACAUUUACUGUUCCCAGUCAAAAUACAGAUGAAUGUACAACGACCACACGUCUGGAUCACAUAACCGAGGAAGAAAACACAACACUUGCUUCAAUUAAAACAAGUUUGAACGUUGUAACGGAAACAUUUACAGAAGCAGUAAAUGUGUUCACAUUUGCGGGAGGUUAAAAACUCGUUAUCAAUAUUAUUAUAUUUACAUAUUAAACAGUUACUAUCGAGUUAUCGCUACCUGAAAACGUUCAUCUGCUACACGUACGUGUAAACACUUUUGGCAUGCUGCGCGCAUUAUAUUUAGACAGCUAACUCGAAUAAGUCCCUGUAUUAAAGGGGCAUUUUCACAGAUUUUGGCAUGUAUUAAAGUUUGUCAUUAAAUGCUUUAUAUUGAUUCAUGUAAAUAUUGGAUCUAAAAAGCUCCAGUAAAAAAACAAUAAUACAAUUAAAAAAGUAACCCUCAACUAGGCUCGAACCACUGACCCUUGGAGUCCUGGAGUAAAAGUCUACCGCUUAGACCACUCGGCCAUCCGCGCUCACACGAUGAGUUAUGUAUUUUAAACUUUAUAUAUGCAAUCCUCGUAGGUUCACAAAAUAUAACGACAACAAAAGAACUCUCCAAACUAUUCAAUCGUUUCGCGUUGCAACGCCUUAUAAUUAUCAGGUUUGAAAAUCAUCAAAAGAUGCACAUAAUGGCUAUUUAAGACGAUUGUAAAUGUUCAGUCUUACUCUUUCCUCACAAAUAUCAUAAAUAAAACGAAAAUUUGCGAUUCUGAAACAACUUUUUUUAAUUGUGUCAAUUAACCGAAACGUGAAAAGGCCCUUUAAGCAAUAAGACAGUGAACACUUAAAACACUUCUACAUGUCUAAAAUUACGU